rnacentral:rRNA from 1 species
UAGGGAAUCUUCCGCAAUGGACGCAAGUCUGACGGAGCAACGCCGCGUGAGUGAAGAAGGAUUUCGGUUCGUAAAACUCUGUUGUUAGAGAAGAACAGCGCAUAGAGUAACUGUUAUGCGUGUGACGGUAUCUAACCAGAAAGCCACGGCUAACUACGUGCCAGCAGCCGCGGUAAUACGUAGGUGGCAAGCGUUGUCCGGAUUUAUUGGGCGUAAAGCGAGCGCAGGCGGUCAAUUAAGUCUGAUGUGAAAGCCCCCGGCUCAACCGGGGAGGGUCAUUGGAAACUGGUUGACUUGAGUGCAGAAGAGGAGAGUGGAAAUCCAUGUGUAGCGGUGAAAUGCGUAGAUAUAUGGAGGAACACCAGUGGCGAAGGCGACUCUCUGGUCUGUAACUGACGCUGAGGCUCGAAAGCGUGGGGAGCGAACAGG